UGGGGAAUAUUGGACAAUGAAGGAAACUCUGAUCCAGCAAUUCUGUGUGUGUGAAGAAGGUUUUAGGACUGUAAAACACUUUUAGUAGGGAAGAAAAAAAUGACGGUACCUACAGAAGAAGCAACGGCUAAAUACGUGCCAGCAGCCGCGGUAAUACGUAUGUUGCGAGCGUUAUCCGGAAUUAUUGGGCUUAAAGGGCAUCUAGGCGGUAAGACAAGUUGAAGGUGAAAACCUGUGGCUCAACCAUAGGCUUGCCUACAAAACUGUUGAACUAGAGUACUGGAAAGGUGGGUGGAACUACACGAGUAGAGGUGAAAUUCGUAGAUAUGUGUAGGAAUGCCGAUGAUGAAGAUAACUCACUGGACAGAAACUGACGCUGAAGUGCGAAAGCUAGGGGAGCAAACAGG
rnacentral:rRNA from 1 species